UACGGAGGGUGCAAGCAUUAAUCGGAAUUACUGGGCGUAAAGCGUGCGCAGGCGGUUUGUUAAGUCCGCUGUGAAAUCCCCGAGCUCAACUUGGGAAUUGCAGUGGAUACUGGCAAGCUGGAGUAUGGUGGAGGAAGGUGGAAUUCCCGGUGUAGCAGUGAAAUGCGUAGAGAUCGGGAGGAACACCAGUGGCGAAGGCGGCCUUCUGGACCAAUACUGACGCUCAUGCACGAAAGCGUGGGGAGCAAACAGG
rnacentral:rRNA from 1 species